UACGAAGGGGGGCUAGCGUUGCUCGGAAUCACUGGGCGUAAAGCGCACGUAGGCGGAUUGUUAAGUCAGGGGUGAAAUCCUGGAGCUCAACUCCAGAACUGCCUUUGAUACUGGCGAUCUUGAGUCCGGGAGAGGUGAGUGGAACUCCGAGUGUAGAGGUGAAAUUCGUAGAUAUUCGGAAGAACACCAGUGGCGAAGGCGGCUCACUGGCCCGGUACUGACGCUGAUGUGCGAAAGCGUGGGGAGCAAACAGG
rnacentral:rRNA from 1 species